rnacentral:rRNA from 1 species
UACAGAGGGUGCGAGCGUUAUCCGGAAUCAUUGGGUUUAAAGGGUCCGCAGGCGGAUCUAUAAGUCAGUGGUGAAAUCCGGCAGCUCAACUGUCGCACUGCCAUUGAUACUGCAGUCCUUGAAUUUGAUGGGAGUGGGCGGAAUAUGUCAUGUAGCGGUGAAAUGCUUAGAUAUGACAUAGAACACCGAUAGCGAAGGCAGCUCACUAUGUCUGAAUUGACGCUCAUGGACGAAAGCGCGGGUAGCAAACAGG